CACAAAAGGACCCGGGGAGAGUGAAGCAAGAGGAGAAAAAGACUUGGGGUAUUAUAGUAGUGGUCUGGUGCAGGCUGUUAAGGUACCUGCCUUUUGUUUAGGGGUCCCUGCUUCAAAAUGGAAGAUGAGGGCAGCAAGUGUGGUAGGAAAGGCUGAAAUGUGUGGUGGUUUAUAAAUCCAAAACUUCAACCAAAAGCCCCAAAAGCUUCUGAGGGGAGGAGAGAUGUGCGAAGAGGAGGGCAUGUGAAGACCAUUUGUCAGGGGAGACUGAGGUAGUAGCCACGUCCUGAUGGUGCAGCUGAUGGAAAGCUGCGGAACUGCGUCAUUUACUCCAGAUGGCUCAGCUGAAAAUGAGGUCUGUGAAGAUUGAAUGGCCACCAUUUGCUUUCCUGUGUCGGUUCUGGAGCAUCAGCAGAUUGUAGAGCAACUGGCUACUCCUGGGUGGCUCAAUCUUCUGGUGGCUCUGAGACACAUUAAAGGAGCUAAGCUGCCUUGUGCGUUGCAGAAGCCAGGGGCUAACUACUGUAUACUUUGACCACGGUGGAGUGGCCUCCUUCAGGGUGUUGCUUUGGGGCCUAUACCCAGCAGUUGGGUUACGACUAGUGGCACUGUGGGAUGUAGGGUUCCUGGUACCGUGUGUGUAGACAUCCUAAACCCGGAGACUCUCUCAGGGGAAGGGGACAAGAGGGGAUGGGUCUCGUCCCUGUCCAGUUGAGACCUGUGUAAAUUUAGGGCACUGUACAUGUUUUAUUGCAAUAAAACUAUAUUCAGGUAACUAGAUGUCUAUUAACAGAUGAGUCAUGUCACUUACUCUUGACAGUGGGCAUUCUCUGAUAAUGACAGCAACUAGCAGCAUUAUGCUGAAGAGACUUUGGUCGAUGCAGUUGCCAUGGCUGUGAGGUGACAUUUGUUCAUUAUAAUGGCUACUGAAAGACCAGGUAAUGGGCACUUCACUGCUAACAACUUAGCAGGACUUGCUUAUCGCUGGGGGCUGGAGGCAAAAGAUUUUACCAGCAGAAAGAACAAAUAUCAAAGUGUGAAAUGUGGCUUGCUGUUUUCUUCAGGUGCUUGCUGUACAUGUAUAAUUAGCUAGGUGUCAUUGUUUAUAACUCCAUAACUUGCCUCUUAAACUUCUCUGAUUACACAUAUGCCUAUACACCCUCCCCGCAAUGCCCCUAGUAUUUUGUGUGCAGCAGAAAUUGGAAGCCAUGAAUAAAGUUAAAGAAACCAAGGACAGUCUCUCUUCCCCCCAUAACUAGCUCACUGUCCAAGUGUAUUUUUCUAAUAUGUAAGUAGCUGUAAAAUUUUCCUUCCUACAGUGAACUUUGUAAAAUGAGUUCAAGGUUUUCUUUUGUUUCAUUAGCUUUUCUACAAUCAUUUACACAGUGCAAAGUGUGUGUAAAACACUCUGUACUAAUGCAGAUCAUUACACAACUUGCAAGCUGUCUGGCUCAGUCCUGCCCAUGCCCUAUUUAAAGCACCAAGAACUUGUGGUGUGUGAUGUCGGUGCUGGUUCAUUCAUUUUAAUAAAA